AACCGUUCAUCCUAUUUAAGGACGCAGUUCGAGCUAUUCCAGGGAACGGGGGUAUAGC
ncrna:unclassified sequences Glutamine-II riboswitch (downstream peptide RNA)